GAAUUCAGGAGGAGCACGUGAGGGGGAGGGGAGAGGUGCAUUUUGGAGGAACUUGAUAGGAGGUGCCUUGGGACACCCUGGAGGCGACGAAGCUGCGUCUCUCAGACUGCCACUCUUACUCCUCGCCCUGUAGCAGAACCCCAACCCCCGGCCUGAGACUCCAGGGAUCGGCUGAGCUCGCGGGCUAACGCUGUGAAGCCUGCCCAGCUACCGUGACGUCACGAGACCCCCGCUAUCUCGUUGGUGGCUAUUUCCUCUCCCGCUGUGGUCCCUGGAGACGCCGGAGGAGAUUUCCGUGACAACGGCAAGCUGGCUGCAACGAAGCCGCCCACGUAGGCCUCCCCGGCCUGCUGGAGGAGAGGGGAUCCCCCGGGGCAGAGGCGGCUACACCCGGAGAACCCGGAAACCGGAAGCGCAGAUCCUGCCGGCUCUGGACUAGCCGCUCAGCACCAGGGCGGAAGGAAGACGAGGCGAGGCAAGCGCCAAGCUUCCAUCCGGACUUCAAGGCCAGUGGCUGGGUCUGGUUUUCUCAACACGGCCUCCUAGUCUCCUUCCCGCUUGGGCAUCUGUUUUUCUUAUAUAGACCCUGAAGCCGCCCGUGAUGUUCUGUAAGCAGGUUCCGCUUCAGAAUCAGAGGUACUUAAGAGGGAACCUGGAUGCUAGACCUGCCCUUGCUGCUGGCCUCAGUUUCUUUACCUGUAAAACAGGGAUUUUGGAACUGUUAAAUUAAAUCAAACUUAAAAGAAUUACAACUUAAAGCUGCUGGAACUUUACAUGAUCCCGAGCCUUGAGAGGAAUGUGGCUAUGCAGCCUGAGUCAUGUGGCAUGCAGAUGCAACCUCUGCCUUUUUCCGCUGUAAAUAAUUAAGAAGACCAAGUAGCAUCCAAGUCUCUUGUCCUUCUGCCUGCUGUUGUGGGAUGAUGUGUAGAGGAAGAUAGUCUUCCUCUACACAGCAAGAAGAUCCCUACCAGAUGCAGCCCUCUCAACCUUGGACUUCCUGACAUCCAGAACUG
rnacentral:lncRNA from 1 species